rnacentral:lncRNA from 1 species
AGAUUGGAAUCCCUUCUAUUGGGUUACUGAUUUCUCGGAGUCGGAGAUAAAUGCAAUUGAGCAAGCAUUCCCUCAGACAAAACUUUACUUGUGCCUUUUCCAUCGAAAACAGGCAUGGGGAAGAUGGUUGAAAAAAAGGAUAAUCUCUGGGUACCAAAUGACAUGAAGACAUUUCUGGAUAUGUGGCAAGAAAUUUCAGAAUCACCAACAGAGAGAGAAUUUAGAGAUCGCGUAGAAGAGUUGCAAACGCAUGAGGUUUCUUGGAGAAACGAGCAUGCAUGGCCAUACUUUAAACAGCAAUGGCUAACAGUAUGUGAAAGAUGGGUGAAAGCGUAUGAGGACAAGGGCACAUUUGCAACCAUUGACACUACAAAUGGAGUUGAAGCCAUGAACAAGGUUGUAAAACAUUUUUUCCUUAAACACAAUUCAGACAGGACUUUAACUGGGGUUACGAAGAUUAUAAUAAACCAGUUUCUUCCAAGCCUAAUUAGAAAGUACUGCCUGCAGAAUUCUGCCAUCAAAGCGUAUAAGAAAGAUGUUCCACCGUUUUUGCAUAAAAAACAAACAAGUUUGUGAAACAUGUCAUGCAGCGAUAUGCAUCAGCAAAAGUUGAUUUAACUGCAAGAUCAGUGAGUAGGAGAUUGGAUGGAUCAUUUUGUGUGGAGAGUGCAAAGUCCAAAAACUGUAAUUAUGUUGUAAACUUUGAUAUAUCAGAUUGCACAUGUGAAGAUUUUCGGAGAUAUAAAUACCCAAGCAAGCAUUUCUGUGCAAUCUUUAUUUUUUACCCAGAGUGGGGUUUUGAUAAAAUGCCAGAAAGUUAUAAGACUAGUCCAUUAAUCUGUCUUGAUGAAAUGUGUGCGGUGGGCUUUAGAAGUGGCUCUUCAGUAAUUUCAUAUGAAGGCAGUAGCAGUGACGAAGCUGUUGAGGAGGCUGUCGAGGUUGAGGAGGCUGUCGAGGCAGCAAAUACAGAUGGUCUAGUUCAAACCCAGAAUAUUCCUUUGCAGCAGUUUGCAGCAAGGGAGUUGUGUAAACAAUUUAUAAUCUCACAUACAACUGCAGCAACAGUGAAACAUUACAAAAAGUGCUUGAAUCACUGAGCAACUGUGCACAAGAUUUACAAUUAGCAAAUCCUGAAGUUGGUGGUCUCCCAUUAGCAGUGCCAUCAACUUCCAAACAAUAGCGAAGAACGGUGCCAAAAGCCCUACAAGAUCUGUCUUAAACACAUUAUAACUUUCCAUUUGAAGGGUAAGAAAUGACUGUUUAUUUGAAUUUUAGAUAGCUCUUUGUCUAUGUAAAAUACAAAUAAGCUCCGUCAUUUCUGAUCCUCGAGAUGGAAUGCUAUGAGGUCUUUAUGUUGGUCUCUGAUUUUAAACUUUGUUGCACAUUUGAAUUUCGAAGUAGCAAUAGAUAAAGUAUUAUAAAAAGGAUAGUUGCUACAUUUGUGUGUGUGUGUUUGUGAGCGAGUGAGUGUGCGCGCAUGCUUUUGAAAAGGCCCUUGUUGCCCGAAAGAUAAGUCCGACAGUCUUUUUGUUGUGCCUUUCUGUGACUCAGCAUCUUCACUAUCUGGUGAGCAGCAACAACUAUCCUUUUCAUAAUAUUGUUACAUUCCAUCCCGGAUUUUUCAUUGUUCAUCAGAGAAAAGAUUUUUCUGAGGAAUUAAACUAGAUGGUAGUGUAGAACUUGCGAACUUUUGAAAAUAUGAAGUAAAAGAUUUUAACUUUAAAUUAGGUUAAUUCAAAUAUGAGACAAUGUUGAGAGUUGAAAAGGUGGAACAAAUAAAUAAGAUAUAUCUUAGUGGCAUUGAGAUGUCGUAUGACUGAUGGAGGAAAGAUUUUGCAUUUCUUUUUCCAAGUAAGAAUGCGCUUGAUCUCACAUGCUUCAAUACAUGUCUAGUGAUUCACGUGAAACAGAGAAAAAGAUAAAGACUGCCCUGUUAACGAACAUGUGAGAUUGCCCAGUAUCACUCUGACAUAAGAGUAUAGUGUGACCUUUAUAUGGUAUCUGGUCAGCAAUGUCAUUGGGACCAAAUGAAAGUUACUGCAGGUACCACACAGAAGCAAUUACUGUUACUGGAAUACCAGUAAUGUUUAUUAAAUUCAGUUAUAAAGUAGUUCUGGGCAUUGCAGCUGGUGAGCAAUGUCGUUGGACAACAAAAGAAGUUCAGUUAUGGAUUUCUGGCCUUCAGUCCAUGGGAAAAUUCACACCAGAUUGGAUCAAGACUGUUAUAUUCCAAGGAUAUCUUGGAAGAUUGAUGAUAUUCCUGAAGGAAAACAAUCCAUAUAGUGUUUCACAUGUGUAUCAAACUGCCAUUUGUUGUGGCACAUAAAUGUUUGUAACUUGAUUGUAAUUUUUGAACAGUUUCUCAACAAUCCAAGAAUUUCUUGUAAUGAGAAGUAGACAUCGUUGCUUGGGUAAAGGAAAUACAAAUCACGGUCAAUACAACUACCUUAUUAACUUUCCACAGAGAAAUAUGUUUCACUACUGCUACUUAAAAAUUCAAAUGUGUGACAAAGUUUUCUUACAGAACUUGACAUAAAGAUCUCCCUUAUUUGUAUUUUUUAGAUAGCUCUUAUUAUUUGAUCCUUCAAAUGGAAUGCUAUGACCUCCAUGUGACCUAUUCCUUAGUAGUUAAUUAUCCAUUAAGGCACAAAUAUAUGAACAUUACAAUGAGAGAGGCGUCUUUAUGCCAGGCCCUGUAAAAGUAAUGCCAUCUUACUUAGUAUUAUUGUUGGGAAUUUGAUGGCACAGCUGUGGGGUGACCACAAAUUUCAGGGUUUGCUAACUGCAGAUCUGGCACACAGCUGCCGAGUGAUUCAAGUGCUUUUCAUAAUGUUUCACUGUUGAUACAGUUGUAUGUGAGAUUAUAAACCUGUUUGAACAACACCUUCACUUCAAAUUGCUGCAAAGAAAUGGUUAAGGUAUCAGUGUGAUGCUCUAUGUGUGUUUCCUCAACUGUGUCCUCAUUGCUACUGUCUUCAUGUGAAAUUACUGUGGACACACUUCUGAAACCAAACCUGUACAUCUUGUGAAGACAGAUUUAUGGGCUAUUCCUACAGCUUUCUGUUAUUUUAUCAAAACCCCACUCUGGAUAGAAAAUAAAGAUUGCACAGAAAUGCUUGCAUGGGUAUUUAUAUAUCUCAAAAUCUUCACAUGCGCAGUUUGGUAGAGCAAAGUUGAAGAUGGUAGAGCAAAGCUUACAACAUAAAUUGUCUUUGAACAUUGUACUCUCCAUACAAAACAUUGUCCAACGUCACAUUCGCUAAUCUUGCAGUUAACUCAACUUACCCUGGUGCAUAUCACUGCAUGACAUGUUUCACAAACUUGCUUUUUUUUAUGAAAAAACAGUGGAACAUCUCUGUUCCGAUUUGAUGGCAGAAUUCUGCAAACAGUACUUUCUAAUUAGACUUGGAAGAAAUUGAUUUCUUAUAUCCCUAAUAGCCCCAUUCAAGGUCCCAUCUGUAUUUCAUUUUAGGAAAAAAAGUUUACAAUCUUGUUCAUGGCUUCAACUCCACUUGUAAUGUCAGUGGUAUCAAAGUUGCCCUUGUCCUCAUAAGCUUCCACUCUCUUUUCAUGUACCAAUAGCCACUGCUGUUAAACAUACAGUUAUGCAUAUUUGUUUCUCUGAGAAGCCUCACUAUCUCUUCUGUAUGAUCUGUAAAUUCUCUGUUGGUGAUUGUGAAAUUUCUUGCCACAUGCCCAGAAAUCUCUUCAUGUCAUUUGGUAUAUAUUCAGCCAUCUUCCUCAAACCUGUUUCUGAUUGAAAAGGCACAAGUAAACUUUUGUCUGAGGAAAUGCUUGAUCAGUUGUGUUUAUCUCAGACUAUAAGAAAUCAGUAACCCAGUAGAUGGAAUUCCAAUCCUUGAAAAUGGCUAGUGCUUCAUGAAUGGAUCUCACAUUUUCAACUUGAAUGAAAAAGAAAACCAAAUAACCCACAUUACUCUUUACAGCUAUAAAAAAACAAAGGCAUAUCAUGUGUUGUUGUUUUGUAUGUUGCAUAUAACAACUAUCCCAGUACUUCUUCAAAAGAUCUCUUUGCUAACAGCUCUGAUAGAAAAAAGUUAUGGUUUCACUCCUCCAUUGGCACCUAUACCAUGUUUGUAAUAAAUCAUGUGAUUGCUUUAUUCCUUGUGCCACUCGUCAGUAUGAUUCUGCGAUCUAGUCUCGUCAAACAAUGCUUUAUUUGUACAUUACAAGGUCCAAUAUGUGUGAAUAUAAUUUUUUUCAGUGGGGUAAAAUGUAGUAUUCGUUAGAGCUGGUAUGUGUGUCCCAGUGAAAUUAUCAAUAAAUGUAUCUAGAGCCAAAUUAUUGGCUGUAUGAUGUCAUUCCGUUGUGCACCUGAAUUUGUAUUUCCUUUACAAGUAGUUGUUAGCAUGGGUGCGUGCUGAUUUGCUGGAGAAGCAGAGAGAUAGUCUUUCAGCUAUCUUUGAGACAGUUAAAGGAGGUGCUUUAGAAAUGAGUGUCCUGAUUGAUAUGAAAAACAGUUUUCAAAUUUUCUGUACAAACUGUAAACAGUUCCUCAGUUGGUGAUUGUGGAAGAGAUUGCCAUAGCCACAGUAUUGAUCCACUGUCAGGUGGUAAACCUAGGAUUUCCUUCCAGUAUGAGCCAAGUGAAGUAAAACUGUGGUUGGAGAAAUGUUUUAUAUUCUUAAAUUGAGUAUUUGUAACCCAUUACGUUGGAUUGCAGUUCAUGUGUCAACACUUCAAAAUAUUUAGUUCUUCACUGAUGACACUUGAUACCAUUUCAAUUUUUUAAGGCUAUUCUGUGUCAAGUUAAAUUUUGAGUUAUCCAUUUAAGCUUACUUUUUGCUGUGUGGCAGAUGGAUUUAUGUUCAUGUAGUAUUUUUAACGUUGUGAUUCUUGAGUUUCUCCCGGCGUAUUUGAUAAUCAAAAUAUCCACGGGUGUGCUGCCGGUCUAUAGUG